GGCCCACUGGUGUAAUGGGAACACGCCACCCCCUCAAGGUGGAGUCAGGGGUUCAAUUCCCCUGUGGGCUA
rnacentral:tRNA from 1 species